rnacentral:rRNA from 1 species
AGACCCGAAACCCGGUGAUCUAGCCAUGGGCAGGUUGAAGGUUGGGUAACACUAACUGGAGGACCGAACCGACUAAUGUUGAAAAAUUAGCGGAUGACCUGUGGCUGGGGGUGAAAGGCCAAUCAAACCGGGAGAUAGCUGGUUCUCCCCGAAAGCUAUUUAGGUAGCGCCUCGUGAAUUCAUCUCCGGGGGUAGAGCACUGUUUCGGCUAGGGGGCCAUCCCGGCUUACCAACCCGAUGCAAACUGCGAAUACCGGAGAAUGUUAUCACGGGAGACACACGGCGGGUGCUAACGUCCGUCGUGAAGAGGGAAACAACCCAGACCGCCAGCUAAGGUCCCAAAGUCAUGGUUAAGUGGGAAACGAUGUGGGAAGGCCCAGACAGCCAGGAUGUUGGCUUAGAAGCAGCCAUCAUUUAAAGAAAGCGUAAUAGCUCACUGGUCGAGUCGGCCUGCGCGGAAGAUGUAACGGGGCUAAACCAUGCACCGAAGCUGCGGCAGCGAACGUAUCACCCAAGACAACUUUGCGGAGUUGACGAUUGACGGAGCGAAGCGACGUCAAAGCGUUCAUUAAAGUCGAGUUGGCUUAGGGAUACGUUCGUUGGGUAGGGGAGCGUUCUGUAAGCCUGUGAAGGUGUGUCGUGAGGCAUGCUGGAGGUAUCAGAAGUGCGAAUGCUGACAUAAGUAACGAUAAAGCGGGUGAAAAGCCCGCUCGCCGGAAGACCAAGGGUUCCUGUCCAACGUUAAUCGGGGCAGGGUGAGUCGACCCCUAAGGCGAGGCCGAAAGGCGUAGUCGAUGGGAAACGGGUUAAUAUUCCCGUACUUGGUGUUACUGCGAAGGGGGGACGGAGAAGGCUAUGUUGGCCGGGCGACGGUUGUCCCGGUUUAAGCGUGUAGGUGUGUGUUCCAGGUAAAUCCGGUUCACUUUAACACUGAGGCGUGACGACGAGGCACUACGGUGCUGAAG